CUAAGGAGAGGUUUCCACACUCUUAUAAAGGUUAUUUCGUUCUCGUCCUCUCCCAUCAAUAGGGGAUCUCACAAAAGGUGUCUAAAUUGAAGGCCAAGUAAAAGUGAUCUCACCAUCUUCAGAAUGUCAGCAACAUUGGAUUCUCUCAUUGCAUCAGUUACGUUUCUCACUAGAGCCUGCAUAAGGUCAACUCAUAAUAUUUAUGCAUCAACAGUAAAGAUUACAAAGUAAACGUCGAAGCAAAAAGAAUGGCAGGAGCCUAACCGCUUUGUAGUUAUCAAUGGUUACAAAUCCAUUUUGUGGAUCCAAAAGCUUGAAUUGGGUCCUGAGUGACAGAUUACCUUCAAUGCUGCACGCUUGAAAGGAGUUGCACGAAGAUAUGCCUUAACUGACUUGUAUAUGAAGUUAUCCAAAGGCACGGCAAGAUCUUCAUCUCGUAACCACGGGUGUGCUGUGAAUCAAAGAAGGCGUUUCACAAAAUCUUUAGCUUCUGGAGAGAUGGUCGGCCAAGGGGAAUCAUCGAAGUUAGGAUCGGCUCUUAGCACAGAGCGGAAGAUUCCUGAUUCAGUUCUUGCCCAGAAAGGUCUGCUCCCACACAACAGUAUAUAUGCUAUGACACCAAUACUCCACAUGUCUGCUUCAAAACUGUAGGAUCUGUAGAGUACUUCAGGAGCAACAUAGUAUGCACUACCGACGACAUCGUUCAGACGUUCAUCUGUAGAAGAACUUAUAGGUGUUGUGAAAACAGUCUCACCCCUAAUGAGAUGGCAAAGUGAAAAUCAAGUAGGAAUUGAAAGCAGCAACUUCUCAAGGACAGCCCAGAAGCUUGGAUGGUAAUAUAUGAAUCUCUCUCCACCAAUCUUUCAUAAUAUAUGCAAAUGUUUAAUGAACUGAACAGAGGCAAGAACAUAUUAUCAAGGGCAACAUGUAUUUACCUGGCUUGACGAAGUCAGAGAGACCAAAAUCAAUGAGUUUGAGUCCUGUGUUCUCAUCUUUCUUCAUAAAAAGGAAAUUCUGGUACAGUGAAUUUGGAUAAAGCUAGUUACAACAAGUAAUAGGGAACUUUAUUCAAAGCCAAAGAAUGACUUGAAGCUACAAGAAGAUGUGUACCUCUGGCUUCAAGUCACGGUGCACUAUCCCUUGUAGAUGACAAAAUGCAACAACACAGAGUAUCUGCACAAUGAUCGUUUUCGAUUCUUGUUCCUGAUAUCUUCCUCCUCUGCAGGUAUACGUUAUGAACUUGUAAUCGAGUUGAUCGAUGUUUUUUCUCAAGAGUAAAUGAAUCAAACCAUUUUUACCUUGACACUAUUCUUUCUAGCAGUUCUCCGCCUUCACACAAUCUGAUACCAAAUUCAGAAAAAGGGUUGAUAUUAACUUGAUUGAGCUAUCAGAAAAUGCAGGGCUAUUGGCAAAAACAGAUAUCUACAAGCACAUACUCCAUAACUAUGUAAAUGUUAUUGGCAUCUUCAAAUGCACCGUGGAAAUGGACCAGAUUCUUGUGCCCGGACAAUGCUUUCAGUAUCUUUACCUCCCGGCGAACAUCUUCGAUUCCAACGGUCGAUGUCAUCUGCCAAACCAAAUAAGUCCGAGCAGCGAGUUGGCAUCAAAAUAAUGAACAGAUUGAGGUGAAGAAAUGAGUAUUGAACUAAACCAACCUUAGAUUUAGAGAUGAUUUUGACGGCCACAGGCUUUCCUUUGAGGUCGCCUUUUUUACCUUUAGCCCAGAAAGUAUGUCCAAAAUGGCCCCUCCCCACCUCCCUCCCGAGCUCGAACUUCGCUCCAAAGUUCGUCGAGUACCCAAAGCUUUUAUCCAACUGAACCUCUCCUAACCCCUCUUCCCCAAUUUGGUUUUCCUCUGGUAUCGAAGCCUUGCGUGAUUUCCGCCGGAGAAUGGCCAUGAUGGGCUUUGCUGGUGAAGGAGGCGGUAGAGGCCAUCGGAAUUUCCUCCUCGUUGUUCUGGCUGGCGACGGCGCUAUUCCAGAAGGCAGAGGACUAGAAAAUGGGCUCGCUGUCGCAGAGACAGAGUUGGAGUGCCGGGUAUCUUCGGUUGGAUGGCUGCCACCGGAAAUUACAGCGUGGUUACUGAUAUCAGAAACGCUUUUACUACAGUGGUGCCCCAUGGGAAAA